AGAGUUUGAUCCUGGCUCAGGACGAACGCUGGCGGCGUGCUUAACACAUGCAAGUCGAGCGGUAAGGCCCUUCGGGGUACACGAGCGGCGAACGGGUGAGUAACACGUGGGUAACCUGCCCUGUACUCUGGGAUAAGCCUUGGAAACGAGGUCUAAUACCGGAUAUGACACUGGACCGCAUGGUUUGGUGUGGAAAGUUCCGGCGGUACAGGAUGGACCCGCGGCCUAUCAGCUUGUUGGUGGGGUAAUGGCCUACCAAGGCGACGACGGGUAGCCGGCCUGAGAGGGUGACCGGCCACACUGGGACUGAGACACGGCCCAGACUCCUACGGGAGGCAGCAGUGGGGAAUAUUGCACAAUGGGCGAAAGCCUGAUGCAGCGACGCCGCGUGAGGGAUGACGGCCUUCGGGUUGUAAACCUCUUUCAGCAGGGACGAAGCGCAAGUGACGGUACCUGCAGAAGAAGCACCGGCUAACUACGUGCCAGCAGCCGCGGUAAUACGUAGGGUGCGAGCGUUGUCCGGAAUUAUUGGGCGUAAAGAGCUCGUAGGCGGUUUGUCGCGUCGGCCGUGAAAACUUGGGGCUUAACUCCAAGCUUGCGGUCGAUACGGGCAGACUUGAGUUCGGCAGGGGAGACUGGAAUUCCUGGUGUAGCGGUGAAAUGCGCAGAUAUCAGGAGGAACACCGGUGGCGAAGGCGGGUCUCUGGGCCGACACUGACGCUGAGGAGCGAAAGCGUGGGGAGCGAACAGGAUUAGAUACCCUAGUAGUCC
rnacentral:rRNA from 1 species